CACAAGUCCAUGAGCUCCCGUGAUCCAUUGCUAGUGACACAGCGAUGACACGGAAACAUCUGAAGGCAGGGCCCCAACUCCCACUCUUCUUGGGACACUUUUCUCCUGGAGGCACCCUGGUGCUUUGCCAGCACCAUCUUGCCACUGCCCUGAGGAACGGAUGCUAGUACAAUGACACCAGGUUCCCUGCCCCCAUGGGGGACAAGCCUCCUUUCAGCCGUAAGUGGCACCUGCCACCAGAGGAUUUCCACACGGGAAUGGCCCCAACACACCCAGGGACUCACAGUUACUCCAGAGAUAACUGAUCAUGGGGGGCUAUAGACCGCUAUCUCAUAUCCAAUGUGGCAAGAUGGAGCUGGCAGCUUGGGAAGAAGUUGUCCCAGGAACCCGGAUGUUGUACUGAUGUGGCAACCUCAACAGUAUGAGCAGCACUCUCCAUUUCCUUUGGGAGAUACAAUCCAAUCUUUGAAGGGACUGUUGUCUGUCACUGCAAAUGAUUGUAAGGAACGGAACUCCCUUGAUGGUAAGUUUUACUCACAGAAGAGGGAUCUAGUUGGGAUAUAACUGGACAGGUGCUGGACUUAGAGUCAGAAGACCCUGGUUCGAAUCCCAUCUCUUCCAUUUACUCAUAGAGUUAUUGGCUGGGUUUCUUCAGUCCUCUGAUUAGCAGGUGGAAUUAACGUACUUCAGGGCAUAGUAAGACCAUCAUCGGUCUGUAGACCCCCAUCUCAGGACCACCCCAUGGUUCACAUCGGAGGGCAUGUCUGGAUGAAGAACCACAUCUUCUGGAUAAGCUCUAUUUCCAUUUGCCGCCAUCUGCUGACCACCUCCUAUUUUUUCAACCUA